AUGACCCCCAGCCUGGCCAUCGCCUUCCUCCUGCUGCUCCCCGCGGGUGUCUAUUCCCAGGUCAGCCUGGUGGAGUCCGGUGGGGGAGUCAGGAAGGCCGGAGAGACCCUCAGACUGACCUGCACCGUGUCCGGAUUCUCUCUCACUAGCUACGAGGUGCACUGGGCCCGCCAGCCCGCGGGGAAGGGGCUGGACUGGCUGGGAGGUAUCUGGGGUGAUGGGGGCACUGCUUAUAGCAAUGCUCUCAAAAAUCGCCUCAGCAUCACCGAAGACAACUCCAAAAGCCAAGUGUUCCUGCAACUGACCGGCCUGCAGCCCGCAGACACCUCCGUGUAUUACUGUGCCAGAGACACAGUGUCUUCUCUCAGGAGCAGCUGGUCCAGUCUGCCCCAGGAGCGGUGA